rnacentral:lncRNA from 1 species
ACGAUAAGAUGAGUCAACACACAGAAAAUACAGAACAGCAGAUGCCCCAUUGCUCAAAAGGGAACUGAAGUGACAGAAGGAACCUGCUUUGUCUCAGAUGAGACUUUGGACUUGGACUUUUGAGUUAAUGCUGGAAUGAGUUAAGACUUUGGGGCACUGUUGCAAAGGCUUGAUUGUGUUUUGAAACGUGAAAAGGAUAUGUGAUUAUGGAAGGGUCAGGGGUGGAAUGAUAUGGUUUGGCUCUGUGUCCCUACCCAAAUCUUAUGUUGAAUUAUAAUUCCCAAUGUUGGAGGAGGCACCUGGUAAGAGGUAAUUGGAUCGGGGGGCGAAUUUCUCCCUUGCAGUUUUCAUGAUAGUGAGUGAGUUCUCAUGAAAUCUGGUUGUUUAAAAGUGUAUAGCACUUCCCCGUUCUCUCUCUCUCCCUCUCUCUCUCCUGCCACCAUUUGAAGAUGUGCUUGCUUCCCCUUUGCCCUUCAUCCACGAUUGUAAGUUCCCUGAGGCCUCCCUGGCCAUGCCUCCAGUACAGUCUGUGGAACUGUGAGUCAAUUAAACUUAUUUUCUUUAUAAAUUACUCAGUCUCAGGUAGUUCUUUAUGGCAGUGUCAGAAUGGACUAAUACAAAUAUACAUUGGAUAUGAAGGUGAGUCUGCUUCAAGAAAGAAAAGCAUUUUAUAAUGAAAUUAUGAGACAAUCUUGAAGGACAUAAUAUUUGUUCUUAGAUUUUAUAUUUUGAGUUCAACCAAACAAGCAUUUGUUGACAAACUAUUCUACACCAAGAUAUGAGUACAACCUACAGUAAUUUAUUGUCACACAUAAAUAAAUAAGAUAUAGCAUGGCAAUUUCAACAACUGAGAUAGGAAUGAAGUGUUGUGGGAACUUGGCAGAAGCCAGGGAAAGGGGGAGAGCAGACAACUCUUAAAUGCCUGUGGAAAGACCUAGGAAGGCCUACAAGUCAGCUCAGGCUACCAUAACAAAGUACCACCCUGGGCAGCUUAAAUAGAAACACACAGAUGAUUCCCAACUUAUGAUGGUUCAAUUUACAAUUUUUCUACUUUAUGAUGGUGAGAAAGCAAUAUGCACACCAUCAUUUUAAAUAGGAAUAAUACAGGGUAGUCACAGGAGAAUAGAACAUUCCAGGCAGAAGUUUCACAUGACUAGCAAAAAGAAACUGUUGAAAUAGCUGCAGCAGCUAUAGGCUGAUAAGACUCUGAAAACCCAGGGUAUAGACCAAGCUAGCUAAAACCUUCUGGACCCAACAUGGUGCUGGAUUUGACCUAGGUUUCACCUAGGACCUCAUUAUAUGUUCAUUAACAUUCUAAAUCAUAUACCCACCGGUGUUAUGACGGUUCUGAGAAUCCCCAUAUUUGGUGUACAAAUGGGUGGCACCACAGUUCCAAGAAAUCUCCACCUUUUUCCAGGAAUCUUCAUGGAUAUUCCACCCCUUGGUUACAGAAAUUCAUAAAGGCAGCAGUCCCAAACUCCCUUUUGCGUGACUCUCUUGAGUACACGUGCACUCCCUUUUCUUGAGUGUGUACUUUUCCCUUUACCAUAAAUCUCUACUUUCACUAUUUUCUAACCCAGCCUUGAAGUCAUUCUCCAAACAAUGUUAAGAGCCUGGACAUCAGCUGGGGUUCCUCAUCUGGUCCCACCAGUGUUUGGGGACCUCCCCCAGCCCACUGGUAUCAAAUUCAGUAGAAAUUGUACUUUGAGUACCCCUACAAUCAUUCUGUUUUUCACUUUCAAUACAGUAUUCAAUAAAUUACAUG